CCCCAAUGAGAAGUUGUUUCUUGUUAAAAAAAAUGUAUUUGAUAAGUCACACAAACGCAGGAGAUUUGGGAAAUUUUGAUGCACUAUAUACUACAUGCCUGAGAAGAUUCUUUUACAUCCGUUGCUAUGACAGUUUUGAAUUUCUUGCCACUCUCAAGACCAUGCACCAUAAACUUCAAAAAGAAAGAGAUGACCUUGGAAUUCGGUUGCAUCUACUCAUGAUCGACAG